rnacentral:rRNA from 1 species
GAGUUUGAUCCUGGCUCAGAACGAACGCUGGCGGCGUGCUUAACACAUGCAAGUCGAACGUGAUCCGGAGCUUGCUCCGGUGAAAGUGGCGCACGGGUGAGUGACGCGUGGAUAACCUGCCCUGGUAUCUGGGAUAACAUCUCGAAAGGGGUGCUAAUACCGGAUAAGCCCACGGACUCCUCGGAGUCUGCGGGAAAAGGUGGCCUCUAUUUAUAAGCUACCGUAUCAGGAUGGGUCCGCGUACCAUUAGCUAGUUGGUGGGGUAAUGGCCUACCAAGGCUACGAUGGUUAGCUGGUCUGAGAGGAUGAUCAGCCACACUGAACUGAGACACGGUCCAGACUCCUACGGGAGGCAGCAGUGGGGAAUUUUGCGCAAUGGGGGAAACCCUGACGCAGCAACGCCGCGUGAGUGAUGAAGGCUUUCGGGUCGUAAAGCUCUGUCAGAGGGGAAGAAAUGAAACGUGCUAAUAUCACGUUUUCUUGACGGUACCCUCAAAGGAAGCACCGGCUAACUCCGUGCCAGCAGCCGCGGUAAUACAAGGGUUWUUSKRAACAAUAUYYAUCACACUGKYRGSGGGGGCGAGCGGGSAAAACAGGWCCGGAGGASGACACUMAURUUUUCKG